rnacentral:rRNA from 1 species
CCUACGGGUGGCAGCAGUGAGGAAUAUUGGUCAAUGGGCGGAAGCCUGAACCAGCCAAGUCGCGUGCAGGAUGACGGCCCUACGGUUUGUAAACUUCUUUUAUACGGGAAUAACGCGCCUUACGUGUAGGGUUUUGCGUGUACCGUAUGAAUAAGCACCGGCUAAUUCCGUGCCAGCAGCCGCGGUAAUACGGAAGGUCCGGGCGUUAUCCGGAUUUAUUGGGUUUAAAGGGUGCGUAGGCCGGAUGUCAAGCGUGCUGGGAAAUGUCGGGGCUCAACCCGGUCCGUGCAGCGAGAACUGGCGUGCUUGAGUGAGCGGGAAGCAGGCGGAAUGCGUCGUGUAGCGGUGAAAUGCUUAGAUAUGACGCAGAACCCCGAUUGCGAAGGCAGCUUGCUGGAGCGGAACUGACGCUGAUGCACGAAAGCGUGGGUAUCGAACAGGAUUAGAUACCCGGGUAGUC